UACAGAGGGGGCAAGCGUUAUUCGGAAUUAUUGGGCGUAAAGGGCGCGUAGGCGGCUUUGCAAGUGGCGGGUGAAAUCCCUCGGCUUAACCGAGGAACUGCCUGCCAGACUGUGAGGCUUGAGACCGGGAGAGGUGAGUGGAAUUCCCAGUGUAGCGGUGAAAUGCGUAGAUAUUGGAAAGAACACCGAUGGCGAAGGCACUCUACUGGGCUAUUACUGACACUCAGAGACGAAAGCUAGGGGAGCAAAUGGG
rnacentral:rRNA from 1 species